GUGUCCAAGUCUCAUUAGUUUUGCAAGAUUGGCUAAAUCUAAGAGAGAGAAUGGGUGAGAAAAUGAGGGGCGGAUGAGAGUAAGGAGGAGAUAAGCAUAUGAUUUUUUUUUUGGAGAUUUCCUAAGAUCCCUAAAGAUAAGAGAGAGAGAGAAAUAAAAGAUAUAUAGAGAGAAAGAAAAUAAAAAGAAGAAAGAGAACCCAAGAGAGGGCCGUGGGUUUCCAAAGGAAAGGAAGAGUUCUUCUUCAUGCCAUCUAAGUUCCUAAGUUUCUUGGAAGAAGAAAGAUAGCAUCAAAGCAAGGUAUAAAAAUCCUUAAACACAAAACUCUAAUUAGUUUGUGUUUGAUUUUUGUCAAAAUAAUGAGUUAUGAUCUUGAACUCUAAAUGCCUUAGAUCUACAUGUUUUAUAGUGUAUUAUGUAUAGAUCUAAUCAUUUUGGAUGCUAACAAGCUUGAUCAAGAGAAAGAAAAGCAAAACAGUUUUUAAAAAACUUAGAAAAUUAGUGGAUUGCUGCCCCUAAAUAGAAAAUUUGGGGUUAGCUAGAUUGUUCAGAAAAUUUUGGGCCAUAGACUCUGGAACAAACUAAUUUCGACUUCGGAGUAAAGAGUUAUGCCAUUUCAAAGUAGUAGAGUCGAAGCUGUCCAAGAAAUGCGGUGCAAUCUCCUUGCAAGGAAUUUCUGGGCUGAUAUGUUCGGAAUCUGGAAAAAAGUCAGAUGGGAAGACUUGUGGUCCCAGAAUUUAGCUUCGCGUGGGCUUAAGAAUCGCCUAAAAAUAAUUUAAAACGAAAAAGUUAUGAAUAUUUUAGUGCAAGAGGGUCAAGCUGGAAAAAAUUUAAAAACUAUUACGAGUGAACAUUUUUGGGGCUUGGUUUAGGUUGCCUAUGAGGUCUGAAAUUGGUGGGUUAUAUUUUUUAAAAAUAGUCUACCAUGGUACCUACAACAUAUCCAAAAAUGGAAUCAAUCCGAUUAACGAGCGGUGCGUACAAAAAUUGCAAAGUGGCUAAUCUGUUAUGCGAGCAUAAAAAUGUUAAGAAUUUAGCUAAUCUGUUGUGGUCCCAGAAUUUAUCUUCGCGUGGGCUUAAGAAUUGCCUAAAAAUAUUUAAAACGAAAAAGUUAUGAAUAUUUUAGUGCAAGAGGGUCAAGCUGGAAAAAAUUUGAAAACUAUUACGAGUGAACAUUUUUGGGGCUUGGUUUAGGUUGCCUAUGAGGUCUAAAAUUGGUGGGUUAUAUUUUUUAAAAAUAGUCUACCAUGGUACCUACAACAUAUCCAAAAAUGGAAUCAAUCCGAUUAACGAGCGGUGCGUACAAAAAUUGCAAAGUGGCUAAUCUGUAUGCGAGCACGGCAGAGCACUAGCAACAGUUAGGCAGCGCCCCCGCGCGCCUGAUGGCAGCGCCUGCGAGGGCCUGCCCAGCCGCGCGGCGCCAUGCUGAGCUAUUGUCUGACAUCCUUUUAGAGGGUUGUUUUAACGAGCUUUCGUGUAUUGUUUUCGAGGUGUGAAUUUUUUCUAAAAUACUAUACCAUGAGGUCUAUAACAUGCCCAAAAUUUCGCUGUUAUAUUACUUAUGAUUUGAGAAUUAAAAAUGAGCGAAGGAGCAUGUCAGAACUUAAAAUUUGAGCGACGCUAAGCGUCGACGCGUCGUGCGUUUUUGACGUUUGACGUUCCGAAUCGCGUUCCGACGAAAUAAUAAGUCAUAAUAAAUCUAAUAAAGUCCUACUAGGCGAGAUUUGACUAUAAGUGAUAUUUUAUGCCGAAAAAUUUCUUUUAGACAUAAAUAAAGCAAUAAAAAUAUGUAAUAAAUAUAAAUUUAUAUAUUUAAGCAAGAGAAAAUUUAAGGUUGCCUAUAAAAUUAUUUUGUGGUGCAACAAAGAACGUGAAACCUUUGAAAAAUUGUAUUAAUCAUAAAAAUGAUAUUUUAAGGUUUUCGGAGUUCAAAAUGAGAUUUUUGAGCUGAGAUUUAUGUAACGAAGUAUAUAUAUAUAUANNNNNNNNNNNNNNNNNNNNNNNNNNNNNNNNNNNNNNNNNNNNNNNNNNNNNNNNNNNNNNNNNNNNNNNNNNNNNNNNNNNNNNNNNNNNNNNNNNNNUAUAAAGUGAAAAUGCGAAUAUUCGUAAAAUGAAAAAUAAAGCGAAUGUGCUAGCAGAAUAAAAUAUGUAUAUAUGAGGCAACGGUCCGUGUUGACACAUGAAUAGACAAAAUGAUAUAAAAAUUAUUUAAAUUAAAGAAAUAAUAUAGUAAAUUGAAUUUUACUAUAAAAGCUAUCUAUUAGUUGUUUAAACCCCGAAUUUGUGAGUAAAGGUAAAAUAUAUUUUUGAAAUGGAAUAAAAAUAGUUUAAGCUUCAAGACGUAAAAUAUUUACAUCUUAAAAUGUGAAGUGAUUGAAAUAUUAUUAAAUGGUUAAUAACAUUAGAUAUGGAUUAAAAUAUUAUUAAAUUAUUAAUAAUAUUAGUGAUUAAUUAAAAUAUUAUUAAAAGAUUAAUCAUAUUAGUUAAGAAUUAAAUUAUUAUUAAAGGAUUAAUAAUAUUAGUGUUUGAUUUGAAUAUUAUUAAAGGGUUAAUAAUAUUGGUAAAUUAUUAAAAUAUUAUUAAAUUAUUAAUAAUAUUAGUGUUUGAUUUGAAUAUUAUUAAAGGGUUAAUAAUAUUGGUAAAUUAUUAAAAUAUUAUUAAAUGAUUAAUAAUAUUAAUAAUAUUUAUGAAUGAUUAAUAUCCUAUUAAAUGAUUAAUAAAGUUAAGAAGUGAUUGAAUAUUAUUAAGUGAUUAAUAAUAUUAAGUGACUAAAAUAUUAUUAAAGGAUUAACAAUAUUAGACAAGAGUUUAAGCUAAUGGUUAAGUGAUAGUAAUAUUACUAAGGGAUAAUAAAAUUACUAAUGAGUUAAAGAAAGAAAUAUUCAAUGUUUGAUUAUGUGGCUAAAUGUUAGCUAAUUUAUUAUUCAAGUAAUAGUAUUGUGAGAUAAAGUAUGAUAUGUUAAUUGAAACAUCAAUCUUAUAACUGAUAGGUCUUUCAUAAGAGAUUAAAUUAGAUUACGUAGCAGUAAUCGACGGUACAUACAAGUUUUCUAAUUUAAACUAGAGUUAAUAUUUUCAAGAAUGCUAGUGGUUUAAUUAUUGUCAAUUAUUCCAUAUCCAUGAUUAUUGAUUCGCACUUAGUGCAAGAUGCAUAUGUUUAUCGGGUAUGAAAGGCUGAUCACCCUGAUUACCAAAGUAUUUGUUUAUGGUCAUUGUUGGCCACUCAACGUCAUUAAUUCAAUCAUUCAUGUAUUGAAAUUUGAUUCAUGCUCUUUCACAAUCAUUUUAUUGUUGAAAAUUUGAAGUUUAUUCCUUUUCAAUCAUGAUAUAUCCUUUUUGUGUAUUUAAACUUGCUUAGAAAAGUAGUUUCUCACUCUUGCUAUAUUAUGAUAAUAUUUUCAGUUAAGACGAAUGUUCGAAGAAAGACAGAGGCAAUGACAAGUACAAGAGUAGAUUAUUGUGCACCUUUAACUAUUAAGUUAUCUGAUGUAAAUUACUUCUGUAAACCUUUUGAAGAUUUUAAAGGUACUAAUGUAAGUUAAGGUUGUUAGACCUUGGGUUAUGUUGUAAGAGCUUAUUGUAUAAAUAAUUUAUGUUUAUAUAUUCCGCAGUAAUUAUAAAAUAUGUACGAAGAUGAUGUAUCGUGAUGCACCACAC
rnacentral:lncRNA from 1 species